AGUGAACGCUGGCGGUAGGCCUAACACAUGCAAGUCGAACGGCAGCACAGUAAGAGCUUGCUCUUACGGGUGGCGAGUGGCGGACGGGUGAGGAAUACAUCGGAAUCUACUUUUUCGUGGGGGAUAACGUAGGGAAACUUACGCUAAUACCGCAUACGACCUACGGGUGAAAGCAGUGGAUCUUCGGACCUUGCUCGAUUGAAUGAGUCGAUGUCGGAUUAGUUAGUUGGCGGGGUAAAAGCCCACCAAGGCGACGAUCCGUAGCUGGUCUGAGAGGAUGAUUAGACACACUGGAACUGAGACACAGUCCAGUCUCCUACGGUAGGCAGCAGUGGGGAAUCUUGGACGAUGGGCACAAGCCUGAUCCAACCAUACCGCGUGGGUGAAGAAGGCCUUCGCGUUGUAAAGCCCUUUUGUUGGGAAGGAAAAGCAGCAGGUUAAUCCCCCGCUGUUCUGCCGGUACCCAAAGAAUAAGCACCGGCUAACUUCGUG
rnacentral:rRNA from 1 species